UAACACGUAUGCAACCUGCCCUCUUCAGGGGGACAACCUUCCGAAAGGGAGGCUAAUCCCGCGUAUAUCGGUUUCGGGCAUCCGAGAUCGAGGAAAGAUUCAUCGGAAGAGGAUGGGCAUGCGGCGCAUUAGCUUGACGGCGGGGUAACGGCCCACCGUGGCGACGAUGCGUAGGGGUUCUGAGAGGAAGGUCCCCCACACUGGUACUGAGACACGGACCAGACUCCUACGGGAGGCAGCAGUGAGGAAUAUUGGUCAAUGGGAGAGAUCCUGAACCAGCCAAGCCGCGUGAGGGAAGACGGNCCUAUGGGUUGUAAACCUCUUUUGUCGGAGAACAAAACCCGGGACGUGUCCCGGACUGCGUGUAUCCGAAGAAAAAGCAUCGGCUAACUCCGUGCCAGCAGCCGCGGUAAUACGGAGGAUGCGAGCGUUAUCCGGAUUUAUUGGGUUUAAAGGGUGCGUAGGCGGUCCGUUAAGUCAGCGGUAAAAUUGCGGGGCUCAACCCCGUCGAGCCGUUGGAACUGGCAGACUUGAGUUGGCGAGAAGUACGCGGAAUGCGCGGUGUAGCGGUGAAAUGCAUAGAUAUCGCGCAGAACUCCGAUUGCGAAGGCAGCGUACCGGCGCCACACUGACGCUGAGGCACGAAAGCGUGGGGAUCGAACAGGAUUAGAUACCCUGGUAGUCCACGCAGUAAAACGAUGAAUGCUGGUUGU
rnacentral:rRNA from 1 species